CUCAGUUUCUCUUUUCACUUCACAUAGGGGUUACCCACUGGGUUAUCAUCUUUUGAUGAGCUAUUUCUUAAUCUGAAGUAAUCACUCAGCGGCUGUUUUCUCUUUUAGCGUCUGAGACAUCUUUUUCCCUUGUAACCGCACACAGAACAGUGUGUUUUUCAAUCAGAUUAGUACAGCACACUCUGUUCUGCUGCACUUCCUGAUGACUGGGUAGCCUUGCAUGAACUCGCCCUCGUGCUCUCUCUCUCUCUGGCUCUCUCUCUCUCUCUCUCUCUCUCUCUCCCUCUCUCUCUCUCUCUGUCUGUCUCUCAUGCAUCCACUCACACCCACAGACAUCCCUCACACACACACACUGACGCACACAAUUUUGAAUGUUAAACCUGCUACUGUAAUCUACGAAUUGACUAUCUCUAGACCUGAACAACCCUACGCUUUCAAAUGUCAGGAGUAUGUCACAAAGCCUAACCACUAAGUAUACUCCUAGAAAGCAUUACACUUUAAAUACUUUAAAAGAUAGAGUAUACUAGUAUAGUAUACUACAUGCAGAUACAGUUUUCUCCAAUGUUCUUGCGCUAACAAAGCAUACAUCAGUGAUUCAGAAAUCUCUUGAAAAUUUCUACGUGGAGAGUAACCACUUAGACAAAUGAAAAACAACAACUUGUUCUGAUGUGUAUCAGUUAAGAGAAUGGCAAAAUUAUUAAUUAACAUUUUGAAUCAUGUUUAUUUCCCCUCCUGUGAUGAAUGUACAUUACUCAGUGACUUAGUCAGCAUCUCUAACUAUAGCAGUGUUAUAAUUAACAAGGGCGUUCUGUUCCUCUGCAAUGGACACUGUGGUACAGAUUCAUCAUGUGGGACAGCAACAUUUUCUUUUCUUUUGGUGUGCUGACAUGUCUCUCAAACAAUCUAUCACCUAAUCUUUGUCAUAAAGAGCCUUGAAGUGCACAACCAAUUUGUCAAACCAUGAGUGAGAAUGCACUAAGAGGAACACAGUAUAAGUGACUAAGAAUCCAUUACACUGAUUUAUCACUAAAAGCCCAGAUCUUAAUCUAGAUUUCAUGUAAUUAAUUCUCAGUAGCAUUACCAUACAGUUGGUUGUUGUAUUGGCCACGCCCACUGGCAGGGGGCAGGGACUGUUGUUGCCAUUGGCUACCCACAGACGCAUUGAGCCACUGAUAAUGAAGGAAACAUUUGCGUGUUUUAUAAAAUCAAAUUACAUUUCAGUUGAACAUCAGAGUAUUGGGAUGUCAAGAAAACCAGUGCUUGCUUCUGUUUGGUAGACAUAUGAGAUAUAAAAUGUACAUAGUAAAUAUGUAUGACAAUUAGUGUUGUGUUAAUAUGUGUAAAUAUAGUUUUAAAGCAGUAGUAGGCUAUGCCAUUUUUUACUGAUAUUUGAGGUAUGGAUUCGUAGGUAACUAGUUUUUGUAUCACCCUUAAAAUUAUUUUUAUGGUAUAUGUUUAUGAUGAAUGACAGAUAAACAUAUCUAUCAUAGCUGCCCAGACUAUUCAUUAUGUUGUUUUGUGAUCAGGGCUCGAAAACCGCACGGAAAUGGUCAAACAGCUUGUACAGCAAACAUUGACAAAUAACUCAAGGCAAAUCUGUUUAUCUGCUUAUAUAUAGCUAUUUAGUGUGCUAGUUUUACAUGAAUGUCACACAUUCUAGCAUGCAGCCUUCAUUAUAGCCAGUGAAAUGUGUUUAAAUGAGACAUGACACUCAACAAUUUAGUUAAAUUAAUAAACGUGUUGGUCGACAGUCAGUCCUAGACUUUAGUUGCCCUGUAUAUGAGCUGACUUCUGGCAGACUUCUAGCAAAACACUUUUUCUUUUAAAACAUAUGGUUUAAAUUAGGGGAUAAAAGAAUUAAAGGUCUGAAUUUAUAUAUGUAGACUAUUACGCAUAUGCUGUAGGACUAUAUCUAUGCACUACAACUUUGAGGUGUACAAAUUGAACACCAAACAGAGCCAAUUUUGAACCAAAGACUUCUGAAUAAUUUUUCCAAUAUAGUCCUGAUGUGUCAACUUAGCCUGCUAAGAUAUAGUUAAUAUAUAAUUAUUUUUCUUCCACCUCACUCAGGAUACCAUUUAGCAGGUAGUCCAGAAACCCUCUUCUAAAAAGAGUCUAAAAUCCCAGGUAUAAUUUAAAGUUAGUUUGUUCACUUGACAGAGCUGAAUUCACACUUCAGGUCCCUUCAGUCUAUGUGAUUUUUCAGUCACAGACAGUUAAGUAUGACCACCAGUUCACAUUAUAUGACAGUCUGGUUCGAAAAAUCGUCCUUUGCGAUCACUGUCUGCGAUUUUCUGAAAUUGGCUGUUGACUUAAAUAUUUACAACCUUCCACCAGAAUCGUGGACUUUUCCUUUAAACAACUUCGCAAUGAUAAAAUAUGACAAUAAUAAAAAAAACAUUAAAAGGCACAGUUUGUGAUUCUGGCAAAAGAUUUUUUCAUACUUGUGCACAACAGCUUAUCAAACCACACCCCUCCCUUCUGUGCUUGUGGACUGUACCUUUAAGGACAAAGAUUCAGUACUACUCUUGAGUACGCUUGAGUAUGCAGAAUGCUUGAGUAGACGCUUGAGUAUGCAGAAUGACAAAAUUAAUUCUGGGUAUGUUUCUGAAAGACAAACUCAUAAACUAGAGAGCAUAAAGAUAUGCAAUGUUUGUUCAAUUCACCUUCUCAGGGGAUAUGUAGCCAUCAAUGAAAGUGGGAGACUUAGGUUUUUUAAGCAAAUUAAGAGGCAGAGAUUCAUAGUUAUACAUUAAGGGAGGUGCAAAAGGGACCCAUAGCCAGUGUGUGUGUUCACAUAGGCAGCAGCAGGAUAUCAUACUGUAUACAGAAACUGCUUUCUCAAACAGUUCUUUUGUAACCUUCAUGAAACAAGGAUGGGGAUGAGAUCACAUCAUCUCUAAAAAGAGGUUUUGUUUGAAAUAAUGUUUUUGAGCAAUAUUUAGUAAUUAUAUAGUAUAUAUAUAAUUAUAUACAAUAUAUACUAUUGGCCUAAUUCAGUUUUAAGAAAAGAUUAUAUAUUUGUGUGUUCCAUUAGUGAAUUUUCCCUCAGGUAUCCUUUUUGUUAAAUUUCAUCCUUAGCUGUAAGGGGACCAUUGCAAUUUCAACUAAGUAAGGAAUGUUAUGAUGCUCAUAACUAGACAUGGGGGGAUAGGUAGCCUACAUCUUGCAGUAAUUUAGGUUGUAUAAAUACAGGAAAACGUUUAUCUGGGGAUGUCUUAGUAGUGCCCCUAUAGUUAGCUAGCUGUUAUAUUGGGGUCUUAUGACUGACCUGUCAAUUUUGUCCACACUACAAAAGUGAAUGACUGUCCAUCUGAUAUUGCUGCUUGUAUCUAUUUGCAGCUUUUUGAUAUGAUAUAGUUUUGGGACUUUUGUGUUUUGUUUAUUUAGCUUUAGAGUGAUGAAACCCCUUGGCUAUGUCCUGAAUUAAUUAAUCAGAUGGUGGCUGGCAUCCAAAUGUUGUGUCAAAGUGACAUAAUUAACUUAAGACGGUUCUGUGGUUUUUAUUUGUUUUAUUUGGGUUGUGUAAACACUAUUUGGUUUAUUCACUAAUUUGUGGUGUAGUUGUAAACAUUACCAAUGUGAUCACCAGGUCUUGAGACAUAUCUUGAAUUUGAACCCGUAGGCCUACUGAAAGCGUUUUUGGUAAAGGCCUAGUGUCACUCGUCCUUUUCACUGUGGCAGUUGUGGCAGACACGUGAUUUAUGUCACAGUAUUUGUAUCGAAUUCUAAACUAUAAUUAAACAGUUAAAUAUAGUUAUACAACAUUCUAAAGCUGUUCACAGCAGUGCUUUCAUUUGUACAAAAGGCCUAAGCAGCGUGAUGCGAAAUGGCAGAGAUGGCACACAGGGAUUUAUAGUAUAACUUGAUUUCUGCUUCUUUCAAAGAUCCGUGGACCAGAUAUUCCUAAAAGUUUACAUAGGGUUAUCACGUAGCCUAUGUAUCAUAAUAUGGGUAUAUGGUCAGUCAUACAAAAAACAGAAGAUACAAUGACGUAUAGUCUAAUUGAAAAUGGCAAUGUUAUGAUGCUGGAAGGUAAUAUUUAUGCCUAGGUCUACAUUGUGUUCAUUUUGUCAACACUAUGUGAAAGUCCAUAUGGUGACGCAAAAUAACUGUUAGAACAACCAAGUGAAAUCCAUGCUUUAAGACGAAUUAAGCAAUAAAACAGUGAUCACGAAUCAAAAUCUAUGUUGCUUUAAGUUAAAGUUUAGACGCUAAGAAAUGAAUAUUAGCAGUUAUUUUUAAAUGAGUUAGCGACAUUUUUGCCAAACAGCAAUUUUCCUCCAAACACAUGCAAAAUGUACUCGUCUAUUCAUUCAGACGGAGAAACUGCAUUGGUAGUCCAUCCUGCACGGCAUUUCCAGUGACAUAGCUGCCAGAUGGCAUUCUUAUCGCCCCUAUUAAACUACUGGAGCCAUAAAACGCGACGUUCAUGCUGUAGGCUUCGAACUGUAUAUCAGAGAUGUGUGCACAGUACAGCCUGUUCCCUGCAUCGGCACAGCAGCCGGCACUUAACGGGUUACGGGUCAGGGUGUCUACUAGGACACUGUGUUCUCAUCAGCGCGAGCUACAGUACAGCCGGAACAUUGUGUUACUCAGUGGAUACUUUCCAAAACCUGCCCUCAUAAUUUUUUUCACUAAAUCGCCCUCCCCCUCCUUCUCUCCGCCUUCUACCUCGUUCUCGUUUAGUUCUCCUUCUCCCCAUGUGGCUGUACUGGUAGAAGGGGUAGUGUGUUUGUGUGAGUGCGUGCGUGCGUGUGCGUGUGUGUGUGUGUGUGUGUGCGCGCGCAUAUGCAUGUGUGUGAGAUGGGGGCUGCGGUCUGUCAGACUGCUAAUGGAACACAAAGUACCUUCGCUGGGAGAGGGCGGGUUUGAACACAGCUUUACCGCCAGCGUCGUGACACUGUACUAGUACAGGUUGCCGUCGCGAUUCCCUGAAGUUACAUUACGGAUAUAGAACCACAUGAGGGGGAGAAGCGAGAGAACCAGCUUGGGUAGUGGGACUACAGAAAUGAACAUGCACAAGGGCGAGUUCACAGAUGGGCGGUCCAUAACAGCACUCUUUGCCAAAGAAGGUAUUGACAUCACUCCGAACAAAGAUAAUGGUGUUUGUAAGGUAAGCUUGCAGUCUUAUUACUAAUUUCUCCAUUUCUCUGGUACAAAUGACAUCUUUUAGCUAUAAUGCACUUUUCUCUUUGCAUGUGUUCUUGUCAUGUCCGCAGAGCUCAGGCUGGCUGAGACUGGUACAUUAUGGUUUUACAAAAAAUCUGACAAAUAUCUCACCAAGCUAUCUGAUUGUAACAAAAAUGUUUAAUUGAAGCUGUAUCUGACUGAUGAGUGCAAAUCUUGGGUGGGUUUUUUUUGGGCUGCUGUUCAGAGACCUUUCAGUCAAUAGAAAUUUGGAACACAAUGUUCCGCUGCAGGAGAGACACACAGCCAUGAACAUCUUUGCAGGUCACUUUGCGACAAAGACGUGAUGCACUUGAUCCACUGAGACCGUAAUGGGCUAGUUAAAACAGAAUUAGAUGCCAAAAGGUGGAGUAACUUGACCGAUAAUUUAAAAUAAUUUAAGGAAGUUGUCUCAUCAGUGUUGUGCUUGUUACUAAGCACAUUUGUUUGGCCGUGCUUUGAACUUUUUUGUCAUGCUUCUAAUGUUACGAUU